UCUUGGAUUCCUUGGACUUGACUGUUAAGGACCAGAUGUUUUUUUCUGAGGGAUGCGGGGCAUAUGGGCCACAGGUGAAUCUCAUCAUCACCAUCAUCAUCAUCAUUAUCAUCAUCAUUAUUUUCUUUUCAACUGAGUGAAGCUCAGCACUAGGUUUGUCGUGGAUAACUCUUUAUGCUAAGGACAGGAAUGGAUCAGUGUACUCACAGUGAUUUGUGGUGACUUAAAGACAUGAAAUCUAGAAUAUGUCACAGAAGGAGUAUGACCAUUCAACAGGGGUUAUUCGUGAUGUGAAGUUGAAGCCCGCAUCCUGAAGACACCACUUGUAGCUUAAAAUUCCUGCAUUUGUGACAUUUUCUAUGGCUUCUGCCAAUUGUAGGAGCCCUUCAGAAGGAGGCUCUGGGACAUCGUCUGAGCCUAGAGGGUUAGGGCCAUUGUAUUUCCUUGUCCCCGGGAGCUGGUACUUACCAUCACUGACAGUUUGAAUCUAACUCUGUACCAAGAUGUGGACCUCAGCACUUUCUUUCCGUGAUCCAGGCUUAUGUCGACCGAAAACAUGGCAGAUGAAGAUCCAAUUUGGAGAUGAAUAUAUGGGUAGCUGGGCUGUGGAAAGCACAGAGGAAUGAAGUUACUGGAAUGGGAAAAGAGACAUGUUCCAGGGAAGAGUUUGUUACUUGUGCUGUGUGGUUUAAAACCUGCUGUAGUUUUCCACAAGCUGCCUACGUUUCAGAAUGCGGGAGGAACAAAUUCAGAAGUCAGCGGCUAUCAUUUCAUGUCUUCGUAAGCAAGGCGGUAGGCAGGCGCCAAACUUGUUAUUCACCUUGACCAUCUUGUGGUCCUGGCUCUGUCCCACUGACGUGUGGGAUGCCUGGAAGGACAGGAGUGACGAUCACAAGACAGUGUCUUACUCAGGGCCUUGUACUGAGAGAUGCUCAGGGAAGAUUUGACACUAGUCUUCAUUUUAUCGAGCUGGAACACAUCUGCAGGAAAUCUCCGGUGCUUUGAACAGCAGCCUUCAAGUAGUCCUGCAGGGUAGCUGUUUCCUGUUCUUGCUCAAGCAGGGGACAGACUUGUCUCUGAUGGUGCAAGUAGAGAACAGCCAUUGUCCAGUGUGAUGGUCCUGUUCACUCCCGCAGGGCGGCACAAUACGUGUACUCCCCAGGAAUUGCAGAUGAGGCAAGCGUUGGGGUGAAGACUGUGUGGGGGCCUGGCGGGCUGCACAGCUGUAAGCGCCCCGUCCCUCAGGGGCCAUUCGUUCAACUCCAUUGCUGCUGACCUCUGAUUUUCCUGAAAUGGCACGCAGACACAGCGACGUUACACGAGGGCCGGAAGUCUGUAGUGUUACCGCGAGGGCCACCCGCUCGUCUCCUCUGAUGCUUCCUGGAUCAGGUCUUGCUGUCAUUUCACGUGGAAGACAUCACCUGUACUUAGAAUCACACUGAGAUCUUCCAGCAUGAGUUUUCCUAUUACUGCAUAUUCAUUAAUAAUCCAACCCUCCAUGUAAUUGCUAUUGAUUCUCACAGAGUAGACAUUUAGAGAUUUAGUUGACUUUAUUUAAAGUCUAAAUUUAGAAAUUCUUGGUAGGUGAAGCAUGUUUGUUCAAGGGUCUGUAAUCCAGUAAUUCAACUCCUGUUCUUUCACACAUAAAAUUAAUCCUUCCCAGUAGGUACUAUUGCCUGACUGGAGAAGGUUGAGAGUUAUUGGCAGAUGGCUAUCUGUGUUGUUCAUUGGUAGUUUAUUUUUUUUUACUUGAACAAGUCAAGCAUUUUGGUAGGAGAAUAUAUUUUGCUGAUUCUAUCAGGUUUCCUUUGGCUGUGUUCCAAUUUGUGAGCUUAGGGGGCUUCCUGUGGACAAUAAUUGUGGUUGAUGUGGAGGAAGGAUGAAAUAUAUUACCCUCACCUUUUCAGAAAAAAAAGAAUGUGGCUUUCUUCCCUCCUCUCCAGCCAGCUGUCAGAUUUGAAUGCCUGCCCUAGUUUGCCCUGUCAUAUGUUGUGUUAGUGGGCUGAGUGAUGGGAGCUGGCACCAGCCCUUUAGCGUGAUUGCCAGUUGCCAGACACACCCUACAACUCUUGUCACAGAUAUCUAAGGAAACCGGAUGUUAUGGCUUGUGUCUAGAUU